rfam:Schistosoma margrebowiei strain Zambia genome assembly, scaffold: SMRZ_contig0000539
AUCCAACUGACAAGUCCCAUCCAAAUAGGACGAAACGCGCGUCCUAUAC